UAUUGUCCCCGCUAUCGGGCUCAAACGCC
rnacentral:sRNA from 1 species